rnacentral:rRNA from 1 species
UAGAGUUUGAUCCUGGCUCAGGAUGAACGCUGGCGGCGUGCCUAACACAUGCAAGUCGAGCGAGAAGCCGAUGUGAGAAGUUUUCGGACGGAUCUUUUUGGUGGAAAGCGGCGGACGGGUGAGUAACGCGUAGGCAACCUGCCUCACGGAGAGGGACAGCCUCGGGAAACCGGGAUUAAGACCUCAUGUUGCGGUAAGAUCACAUGAUAUUGCCGUGAAAGAUUUAUCGCCGUGAGAUGGGCCUGCGUCUGAUUAUGUUAGUUGGUGAGGUAACGGCUCACCAAGACUACGAUCAGUAGCCGACCUGAGAGGGUAAUCGGCCACAUUGGAACUGAGACACGGUCCAAACUCCUACGGGAGGCAGCAGUGGGGAAUAUUGCACAAUGGGGGAAACCCUGAUGCAGCAACGCCGCGUGAGUGAUGACGGCCCUAUGGGUUGUAAAGCUCUGAUCUGAGGGAAGAAUAAAUGACGGUACCUCAGGAGAAAGCCCCGGCUAACUACGUGCCAGCAGCCGCGGUAAUACGUAGGGGGCAAGCGUUAUCCCGGAUUUUAUUGGGCGUAAAGAGUGCGUAGGUGGUUAUCUAAGCCGAGAGGUGAAAGGCAUCGGCUCAACCGGUGGUAAGCCUUUCGAACUGGGUGACUUUGAGUGCAGUAGAGGAAAGCGAACUCCUAGUG